rnacentral:rRNA from 1 species
GGGUUGUGAGGUUAAGCGACUAAGCGUACACGGUGGAUGCCCUGGCAGUCAGAGGCGAUGAAGGGCGUGCUAAUCUGCGAUAAGCGCCGGUAAGGUGAUAUGAACCGUUAUAACCGGCGAUACCCGAAUGGGGAAACCCAGUGUGACUCGUCACACUAUCAUUAACUGAAUCCAUAGGUUAAUGAGGCGAACCGGGGGAACUGAAACAUCUAAGUACCCCGAGGAAAAGAAAUCAACCGAGAUUCCCCCAGUAGCGGCGAGCGAACGGGGAGGAGCCCAGAGCCUGAAUCAGCAUGUGUGUUAGUGGAAGCGUCUGGAAAGGCGCGCGAUACAGGGUGACAGCCCCGUACACAAAAGCGCAUGUGCUGUGAGCUCGAUGAGUAGGGCGGGACACGUGGUAUCCUGUCUGAAUAUGGGGGGACCAUCCUCCAAGGCUAAAUACUCCUGACUGACCGAUAGUGAACCAGUACCGUGAGGGAAAGGCGAAAAGAACCCCGGCGAGGGGAGUGAAAAAGAACCUGAAACCGUGUACGUACAAGCAGUGGGAGCCCCACCACCAAAGCAUUUGCUGUACCGCGUUGACGGAGCGAAGCGACGUCAAACCGAUAAAACAGCAGUGUAAAGUGAGCCGCAGGGCGCUUUGCGCGACAGCGCAAAGGCAGGCGGUUUCGCGUAGCGAAAGCGAAUGCUUUGGGGUGGGGUGACUGCGUACCUUUUGUAUAAUGGGUCAGCGACUUAUAUUCUGUAGCAAGGUUAACCGAAUAGGGGAGCCGGAGGGAAACCGAGUCUUAAUUGGGCGUUAAGUUGCAGGGUAUAGACCCGAAACCCGGUGAUCUAGCCAUGGGCAGGUUGAAGGUUGGGUAACACUAACUGGAGGACCGAACCGACUAAUGUUGAAAAAUUAGCGGAUGACCUGUGGCUGGGGGUGAAAGGCCAAUCAAACCGGGAGAUAGCUGGUUCUCCCCGAAAGCUAUUUAGGUAGCGCCUCGUGAAUUCAUCUCCGGGGGUAGAGCACUGUUUCGGCUAGGGGGCUAUCCCGGCUUACCAACCCGAUGCAAACUGCGAAUACCGGAGAAUGUUAUCACGGGAGACACACGGCGGGUGCUAACGUCCGUCGUGAAGAGGGAAACAACCCAGACCGCCAGCUAAGGUCCCAAAGUCAUGGUUAAGUGGGAAACGAUGUGGGAAGGCCCAGACAGCCAGGAUGUUGGCUUAGAAGCAGCCAUCAUUUAAAGAAAGCGUAAUAGCUCACUGGUCGAGUCGGCCUGCGCGGAAGAUGUAACGGGGCUAAACCAUGCACCGAAGCUGCGGCAGCGACGCUUAUGCGUUGUUGGGUAGGGGAGCGUUCUGUAAGCCUGCGAAGGUGGCCUGUGAGGGUUGCUGGAGGUAUCAGAAGUGCGAAUGCUGACAUAAGUAACGAUAAAGCGGGUGAAAAGCCCGCUCGCCGGAAGACCAAGGGUUCCUGUCCAACGUUAAUCGGGGCAGGGUGAGUCGACCCCUAAGGCGAGGCCGAAAGGCGUAGUCGAUGGGAAACGGGUUAAUAUUCCCGUACUUGGUGUUACUGCGAAGGGGGGACGGAGAAGGCUAUGUUGGCCGGGCGACGGUUGUCCCGGUUUAAGCGUGUAGGCUGGUUUUCCAGGCAAAUCCGGAAAAUCAAGGCUGAGGCGUGAUGACGAGGCACUACGGUGCUGAAGCAACAAAUGCCCUGCUUCCAGGAAAAGCCUCUAAGCAUCAGGUAACAUCAAAUCGUACCCCAAACCGACACAGGUGGUCAGGUAGAGAAUACCAAGGCGCUUGAGAGAACUCGGGUGAAGGAACUAGGCAAAAUGGUGCCGUAACUUCGGGAGAAGGCACGCUGACACGUAGGUGAAGUGAUUUACUCACGGAGCUGAAGUCAGUCGAAGAUACCAGCUGGCUGCAACUGUUUAUUAAAAACACAGCACUGUGCAAACACGAAAGUGGACGUAUACGGUGUGACGCCUGCCCGGUGCCGGAAGGUUAAUUGAUGGGGUCAGCGCAAGCGAAGCUCCUGAUCGAAGCCCCGGUAAACGGCGGCCGUAACUAUAACGGUCCUAAGGUAGCGAAAUUCCUUGUCGGGUAAGUUCCGACCUGCACGAAUGGCGUAAUGAUGGCCAGGCUGUCUCCACCCGAGACUCAGUGAAAUUGAACUCGCUGUGAAGAUGCAGUGUACCCGCGGCAAGACGGAAAGACCCCGUGAACCUUUACUAUAGCUUGACACUGAACAUUGAGCCUUGAUGUGUAG